rnacentral:rRNA from 1 species
CCUACGGGGGGCAGCAGUGAGGAAUAUUGGUCAAUGGGCGCGAGCCUGAACCAGCCAAGUCGCGUGAGGGAAGACGGCCCUACGGGUUGUAAACCUCUUUUGCCGGGGAGCAACGGGCGCCACGUGUGGCGCCACUGAGAGUACCCGGAGAAAAAGCAUCGGCUAACUCCGUGCCAGCAGCCGCGGUAAUACGGAGGAUGCGAGCGUUAUCCGGAUUUAUUGGGUUUAAAGGGUGCGUAGGCGGAGCGUUAAGUCAGUGGUCAAAUUGAGGGGCUCAACCCCUUCCCGCCAUUGAAACUGGCGCUCUUGAGUGGACGAGAAGUCUGCGGAAUGCGUGGUGUAGCGGUGCAAUGCAUCGAUAUCACGCAGAACCCCGAUUGCGCAGGCAGCAUGCCGGCUUCCGACUGACGCUGACGCACGACAGCGUGGGGAUCGAACAGGAUUAGCUACCCGGGUAGUC